AUUGAACGCUGGCGGAAUGCUUUACACAUGCAAGUCGAACGGCAGCACGGACUUCGGUCUGGUGGCGAGUGGCGAACGGGUGAGUAACAUAUCGGAACGUAUCCAAUAAUGGGGGAUAACGAGUCGAAAGAUUCGCUAAUACCGCAUACGCCCUACGGGGGAAAGCUGGGGACCUUCGGGCCUGGCGUUAAUGGAGCGGCCGAUAUCAGAUUAGGUAGUUGGUGGGGUAAAGGCUCACCAAGCCAACGAUCUGUAGCUGGUCUGAGAGGACGACCAGCAACCCUGGAACUGAGACACGGUCCAGACUCCUACGGGAGGCAGCGGUGGGGAAUUUUGGACAAUGGACGCAAGUCUGAUCCAGCCAUUCCGCGUGCAGGAUGAAGGCCCUCGGGUUGUAAACUGCUUUUGUACGGAACGAAAAGGCCUCUCUUAAUACGGGGGGCUCAUGACGGUAUCCGGAGAAGAAGCCCCGGCUAACUUCGUGCCAGCCGCCGCAGUAA
rnacentral:rRNA from 1 species